rnacentral:rRNA from 1 species
UACGAAGGGGGCUAGCGUUGCUCGGAAUUACUGGGCGUAAAGCGCACGUAGGCGGCUUCUUAAGUCGGUGGUGAAAUCCUGGAGCUCAACUCCAGAACUGCCUUCGAUACUGGGAAGCUUGAGUCCGGGAGAGGUGAGUGGGACUGCGAGUGUAGAGGUGAAAUUCGUAGAUAUUCGCAAGAACACCAGUGGCGAAGGCGGCUCACUGGCCCGGUACUGACGCUGAGGUGCGAAAGCGUGGGGAGCAAACAGG